rnacentral:sRNA from 1 species
UUUUAGAUUUUAGUACAAUUUAAGGUGGUAUGGGACACCUCCAUUUUUUGACAUACAAUUUAUCGAAAUAAACAAUAAAAUCAAGAUUAAUUUUAUAAAUUGCUUCUUUCCCUUAAUUGUCACCUAGCAGCGUAGUGCAGGGGGUUAGAGGUUUCACUACGAAUUUUUAAGUGAUGAGUUUGAAUAUCACUGGGGUUUUUUUUUUUUUUAUUUACCUAAAUUUUACCUUUCCAAAAAUUUUUAAAACAUAAUUUUUUGGUGAAAAAAAAAUGUGUAAAAUUUAAAAAUUCUCAAUUGGUGAAAGUAUUUUAAUUAAAAUGUAGUGUACUUUAAUGCACAUUAAAAUCGACAGAUGUCCCAUCCCACCAGACCUUAAGUAGCAAAACAUUUCUUAUCAUCAUGGGAAGUAAUCAAAGUAAAAAAUAAAACGGAGCUGUUAAAUAUGAAUGCAAAUACUUUGAUUUAACAACAUGGAUAUGUGAUUGUUUCCUUGACUUGCAGUCUACCAACAAGUACCAUUAGAUUUUUGACUGGGGAAGAGAAUUUUAAAAAAAUUGGUAUUGUUUAUUGUAUAAAUGAACUAGUUUAGGCUGAACACAACUUUCCAUUUGUUCAUAUGAGUACAUAUGUAAUCAAGUACUGUAGUUUGGAAUUUCCAUUUAAAUUCCACUAACUGUCAAAAUGGCGGUAUCUUUGUUGUUACAUGUAUUUGGUUGUAAAUUUUGGAGUAAAUCUUUAUGAAAGAUUU